UACGUAGGGUGCGAGCGUUAAUCGGAAUUACUGGGCGUAAAGCGUGCGCAGGCGGCGCGUUAAGACAGGUGUGAAAGCCCCGAGCUUAACUUGGGAAUUGCGCUUGUGACUGGCGAGCUGGAGUGUGGCAGAGGGAGGUGGAAUUCCACGUGUAGCAGUGAAAUGCGUAGAGAUGUGGAGGAACACCGAUGGCGAAGGCGGCGCUCUGGACCGAGACUGACGCUGAGGCGCGAAAGCGUGGGGAGCAAACAGG
rnacentral:rRNA from 1 species